rnacentral:lncRNA from 12 species
CUUGAAGAUGAAACAUCUGUAGAUUAUGAAAUAUUUAUAGGAAAACGCUGACAAAUGCAUGGUUGCUUCCUGGUUACUUAGAAAAUUAAAGGUGCUCCUUCAGCAAGUUAAAGUAUAUGAAACAACCAAACGUGGAUUCUAUUUGCUUCCUGUUGGGGAACAUUCAGUUGCAGCCUUACAAUGGUCUACAGGGUGGCAAGGCAGCGAGGGAAAAGAGCCUGAUGUGGGGCUUGAUCUCAC